AUGAUUUUGCCGCCAGGGUAGUAACGGAUCGAAUUUAAAUCACCUUUUUGUUUGAGUUACAAUGAAUUAAAUAAGUGACCAAUUAUCUUAAUUAUGAAUCCUGAUAUUUGUUAAGUUUAAGAUUUUGUCGCGGAAUGUGCAGCUAUAGUGUAACGCAAAUAUGACCGUACAAUUUAGGGAUAUGAAGUAAGUGUUACAGCGUGUAUUACAUAGGGUUUUCCCGAAAGAAAUUGUCCGUUCGUAUUCAAACGAUAGAGAUCUUUAAUACUGAUCAGAACGGAUGUCUUCGAGUGCUGCGCGCCCUUCGGAAUCACUGAUAAGUACGGACACAUACAGCUUACCGUGGGUGAAUGUAGUACUACCGGCUAUAUUGCUGGCCCCCUGUCCGCCUGAUAGGAUGACUAAAUGACUGACUAGCUGGC